AUGCUUGGCAGCUCUGAGCAGACAUUAAUGAGCAUCAUGGUUCACCAAAGAUGACAUACCAUGAUUGAGCGUCGACAGUCUAACAGUCUAAUCUAACACCAGCAGCCAGUGAUGAACACGACGAACGUUACAUGAUUUUAUUCUUACUACACUGCGUCUACUACAGUUUCAGUUAAAGAUGGCAAUGUUUGUCAUGAGAAUCAGUGUCUUAGCAAAAACAAAAGAACAGUGACAGAACAGUAACUGUACAGAGACGCUAACAGCGACUCUUCAUUUGAGACGAGCAAAUCUGUUGCCUGGCGUUGUAAUUUUGACAUUAACACUCUGCAUCUGAAUUUCUGAGCUAACAAGCCUUCAAGCUCAUGCUAGGUAAGCUAGCUGUUUCUUGCUAGUUUUUUUUCAGACACCACCACAAUCCCACCUGUUUAAGUAAAGAUGCUGCAAAGCUUCCUUCAUCAAGGCGUCCACCUCACACUGGUAACCUGCAGGGAUCCAAAGAGAUGAGCAGCGGAAAGAACAUGGAAUUAUACAGGCAGGAGAAAAGAAUGGAAACGACCGAAAACUCACCGAGCUGAAGCAGGAUUUUCUUCCACCGAGCUCUGACCUCUCGUUUGGCAUAGCGCAAGCUGACAGCUGGUCUCUGGUGGACAUUCCAGGACCUGAUUGAGCAGGUCGCCACGUCUGGAUGUUAUCAGUCUACUGAAUGGCAAAAGUCUGCUGUUAUCAGUCCCAUACAUAUCAUCUGUAGGCCUCCUCAUCUCCUCACCAGCACAUCCUUUCUAAUCAAGGGUAACACUGUAACAGCUCUGGUGAUGCUGUGCAGCAGAAAACGCAGAGAGUUUAAGACCCCGGCGAGGGGAGGUCCAGCACCAGAGCGCUGUUACCUCCUGCUGUGUGGAGAUGAAUCCUCUGUGAUUUCAAACACUGUAAAUGCAUUUUUAAAAUUUUUGUCUGUUGUUAUUGUUUUGUUAAA